UAUCAGGAAAGGGAAGUCUAGUCUGUUUAGCCAUAUGACAGAUAGAACAAGGGAAAGACUGCUUAGAAGCAAAAGGAAAAGACAAUCCAGAAAUGUGUUUCGUGUUUGAAAAUGAAGUAUGAGCAAGUCUCAAAUGCCAAAUGUAAUUCAUUUCAGUUGUAACAACAUUAUUACAGAUGGAACUAUUUACAUUGGAAGGUAAAGCAACAUCUUUAUGGCAAUCAGUAAAAGAAGAAUUGUCAUGAUUACAAGAGUCAGAUUUAGAGUAUACAAAAGAAGAUGAACAAGACUAUUUACAUUUGAAGGUAAAGCAACAUCUUUAUGGCAACCAGUAAAAGAAGAAUUGUCAUGAUUACAAGAGUUAAAUUUAGAGUAUACAAAAGCAGAUGAACAACCAGUAGAGCAAGAAGGGAAGCUGGAGUCCAUGCAAGCUUGUAUAGACCAGCCUCCUCUCUAC
rnacentral:lncRNA from 1 species